rnacentral:lncRNA from 1 species
AGCCUGGGUUCACGCUCGCGCCUCUCCCUCCACACCUCCCUGCAAGCUGAGGGAGCCAGCUCCGGCCUAGGCCAGCCCAGGAAGGGGCUCUCACAGUGCAGCGGCGGGCUGAAAGGCUCCUCAAGUGCCGCCAAAGUGGGAGCCCAGGCAGAGGAGGCGCCGAGAGCGACUGAGGGCUGCCAGCAUGCUGUCACCUCUCACUAGUUUAGGAAAAUUCUGUUGACCUAUAAUGAAGUUUACAGAUUUUUCCUCAUAUCUGUCCAGUCUACGGAUUAGAUCUUCAAAGAGAUGAAAUCCCACUAUUUUGCCCAGGCUCAUCUAUAACUUCUGAGCUCAAGACAUCCUCCUGCUUUGACCUUCCAAAGUGCUGGGAUAGGGGUUUUGUGCAAAUAUCUGCUGAGUGAACUACUUAUUUGAAAAUACAUCAUUGGUUAAUAUUCCCUUUUGCUCAUUGAAAUCUCAAAGACUACAGACAAACUACAAUAAAGCCAUGCCCUGACUGGAUGUGCCUAACAUUUGUCUGGUGCUUAAAGGAGUUGGCUGCAUGCGUGGGAUGGAGAAGGAUUCAACAUUUAAUGGCAGUUAGAAUCAAAUUUUUAACUCAAGAAGGCAGAAGGAAUCCACCUAAAUAAAUGUUGGAAAGUCACCAAAAAUAGUUCUCCAAGUCAGAAGCGGUGCAAAAGCUGCCUCAGCUCUUGGUGGAUUUUCAAUUUCUCCCAGCCAUCUCUGUUUCGCUAAAGGUUUCUGAAGACAGUGGAAUGCUGUUGAAGACACCACCUUGAUAAAACAAAAACAUCAGCCAAAUUAAAUUUAAAGGAGUUUAAUUGAGCAAAGAAUUAUUCAUGAAUCAAGCAGUCUUCCAAGCCAGAGUAGGCUCAAAUACUCCAGCACAGCCACGUGGUGGAAGAUUUAUGGACAAAAGAAGAAAAGUAACAUAUAGAAAAUGGAAAUGAGGGGAAGCUUUUUUCUCCUCCCCAUCCUGAUCACUAGUAUGAGAAGGGGUGCUAAUGGACCAGCCUUGGCCUUGCAGAUGAAGAUGAUGAAGGAAGAAGAUGUAUAAAGAACCUCUGAAAGAGUCCCAGUUUUACAUUUCAAAGUCUUUUUCCUUCUGUUGUUUAUUGUGUUGGGUUGGAGUGGAGGAUAUUUGAUGGAGAAUUGAUUCUGAAACUUGCCAAAAUAUGGAUAAUACUUUGCUCCUUUUCCAUUGUGGGUUAUCACAAAGAAGAGUUUCACUUUUAGUCAUCUAUUUACAGGUACGGCAAUAGCUAUUUUCUUUUUCUUUUUUUUAUUUUAGGUUUUAUUUUAGGUACAUGUGAAGGUUUCUUGUAUAGGUAAACUAGUGUCAUGUGGGAUUGUUGCACAGAUUAUUUUAUCAACCAGGUAUUAAGGAAGCUCAGUACCCAAUAGUUAUAUUUUCUGCUCCUCUCCCUCAUCCCACUCUCCACCCUGAGGUCGACCCCAGUGUCUGUUGUUUCCUUCUUUCUGUUAAUGAGUUCUCAUCAUUUAGCUCCCACUUAUAAGUGAGAACAUGUGCUAUGUGUUUUUCUGUUCCUGUGUUAGUUGGCUAAGGAUAAUGGCCUCCAGCUCCAUUUUUGUUUCCCUCUCCAGCAUCUGUUUUUUUUUUUAAUUUUUAGUAAUAUCCAUUCUGACUGGUAUGAGAUGGUAUCUCAUUGUGGUUCUGACUUGCAUUUCUGUAAUGGUCAAUGAUGUUCAGCUUUUCUUUUCAUGUGCUUGUUGCCCACAUGUAUGUUUUGUUUUGAAAAGUGUUUGUUCGUGUCCUUUAUCCACUUUUCAAUGGGGUUGUUUGCUUUUCUCUCGUAAAUUUGUUUAAUUUCCUUAUAGAUGUUAUGACCUAGCAGCUGUACCUUUUUUAAUUUCAAGACAUUCAAUAAACUAAGAACCAACAGCACAGUUGAUGUGUCUUUCCAUGACACCUGCCAUCUUUCCUCUCUUCAUAGCUAUAAGAAUAUUUUGGAAGAAGAGUUGCUGAUAAAUGCCACUUAGGGAAUCUCUGAGCAUCUGUUAUUAUAAAUGGUUGACUAAAAUUUAGGGUAAAGCAUCCUAUUAAAAAUGAAGUUAAGGACUUUAUGUAGAACUUUAAAAUUUGUCCCCCAAAUCCUGUUGUAUGUCAACAUAUUAUAAAAUAAAUUGUAAAUAUCAUAACUCAGCAAAAGAACAUCAUCUAAAACUCAUUAAGAAUUUAAUGUUGAGUAUAUCAGUGACACAAAAUCAUGAGGCAAGAUGGUUUAAAUAUGUUACAAAUAAUAAUAAAUAAUCAUACCCUCUGAGUUUAAAUUCUUUAUCACCCUGUAUGUACUGCCACUCAACACUUGACUUCAGGGCCAUAAUCCUUAGUGAACCCAUCUAACAUCCACCUAAAAUAAAGGUUUGGAGCCACUCUUCUAUGCUUAACAAAUAGCCUUAAGCAUCAUGAAUAAACAGAGACAGGCUAGCUCCUUUUUGCUCUAUAGCCUUAAGUAGUUCUGACCAUGACUAGAAAGACAUAGCUGCAAGCAGCCUGAUCUUUUUUUAACAUCUUGACUUUUUGCAAGGUAUUUCUAAAAUAUGUUACUAAUAUGUACUUCUUGGUUGUUUUACUAAUAUUUGAAAGAACUAAAGUUAUCAUUAGUCACGUUUCAUUUGAAACUACAGAAGCAAUAAAAACAACAAAGUUCCAAUAUAAAAUCCAUUAUUAAAUAGCUUUCAACAUAAUAGAUUAUUUACUACAAAAUAGCAA